rnacentral:rRNA from 1 species
UACGUAGGGCGCAAGCGUUGUCCGGAAUUAUUGGGCGUAAAGAGCUCGUAGGCGGCUUGUCACGUCGGGUGUGAAAGCCCGGGCUCAACCCGAGACGCCAUCCGAUACUGCGGUGACUUGAGUCUGGUAGGGGAACACGGAAUUCCUGGUGUAGGCGGUGAAAUGCGCAGAUAUCAGGAGGAACACCUGCGGCGAAGGCGGGUUGCUGGGCUGACACUGACGCUGAUGCGCGAAGCCAGGGAGCGAACGGG